GGAUUGUGGCUCAGAGGUAGAGUGCCCUCCUAGUAUGUGUGAGGCAUUGGGUUCGAUCCUCAGCACCA
rnacentral:tRNA from 1 species